rnacentral:rRNA from 1 species
UACGUAGGGUGCGAGCGUUAAUCGGAAUUACUGGGCGUAAAGGGUGCGCAGGCGGUUAUAUAAGACAGAUGUGAAAUCCCCGGGCUCAACCUGGGAACUGCGCUUCUAACUGGCAGGCUUGAGUGUGGCAGAGGGGGGUGGAAUUCCACGUGUAGCAGUGAAAUGCGUAGAGAUGUGGAGGAACACCGAUGGCGAAGGCAGCCCCCUGGGCUAACACUGACGCCUCAUGCACGAAAGCGUGGGGAGCAAACAGG